AAUGAAUUAUUUUUCUGGUUUCAUCUCUCUCUCUCAUCCAAACCCUCUCUUUCCCUAAAGCCCAUUUGAUUUUCAAAGUUGAUUGUUGAGAAUUGCUUGAAGUUGGGUGUGAAUUGGAGCUUUGGAUUGUGGUUUCUUGAGCUUGAAGUUUAGGAUUACCGGCACCUGAUCAGGAGCACCCAGGGGUUUGGAAUCUCUGUUAUUGCGGGACAACAGGAAAAGGUAAGUCAGUGGCUGAUCAACCAUGAGUUUGAGGAGCAAAACGAAGAAUGUACAUGUUCAAGCCAUAUCAGACCAAGUGGGUUAAGGGUCUAUCAGUGUUGAACUUUUGAAUUCUGUUUUGCCGCUUAGGUCGGCUAGAAAGAAAAGACUUGUAAUAAGUUUGUAAUUAUUUUUGGGAUCCCAACUAUUUUGAAAGUUUAAAUAUAUUACAAGUUUAUUUUCA